rnacentral:rRNA from 1 species
GACGAACGCUGGCGGCGUGCUUAACACAUGCAAGUCGAACGGAAAGGCCCUGCUUUUGUGGGGUGCUCGAGUGGCGAACGGGUGAGUAACACGUGAGUAACCUGCCCUUGACUUUGGGAUAACUUCAGGAAACUGGGGCUAAUACCGGAUAGGAGCUCCUGCUGCAUGGUGGGGGUUGGAAAGUUUCGGCGGUUGGGGAUGGACUAGCGGCUUAUCAGCUUGUUGGUGGGGUAGUGGCUUACCAAGGCUUUGAGGGGUAGCCGGCCUGAGAGGGUGACCGGCGACAAUGGGCCUGAGAUACGGCCCAGACUGCUAUGGGAGGCAGCAGGGGAGAAUAUUGCACAAUGGGCGGAAGCCUGAUACAGCAACGCCGCGUGCGGGAUGACGGCCUUCGGGUUGUAAACCGCUUUCGCCUGUGACGAAGCGUGAGUGACGGUAAUGGGUAAAGAAGCACCGGCUAACUACGUG